ACACUUUUCCAGACGAUCGUCGGUGGGUUCGCCCACGGGAGGAAAGUCCGGACUCCGCAGGGCACCGUAGCAGCUAACGGCUGUCCGCCGCGAGGCGAGGAUCAGAGCAACAGAGACGAGCCGGCGUCAUGGCCGGGUGAAACGGGCAAUCUCUACGGGGAGCAACAUCAAAUAGGCAGCCUACGGACCGGCCCGGUCCGGCUGCGGGUAGAUGGCUUGAGGCGUCGCGCGAGCGCCGUCCUAGACGAAUGAUCGUCACCCGGCUUCGGCCGGGAACAUAAUCCGGCUUAUCGGGAGAGUGCCGCA
rnacentral:RNase_P_RNA from 1 species